rnacentral:tRNA from 1 species
GCCCUUGUAGCUCAGUGGUAGAGCACAUCCUUGGUAAGGAUGAGGUCACGGGUUCAAGUCCCGUCGAGGGCU